rnacentral:rRNA from 1 species
GCCAGACUCCUACGGGAGGCAGCAGUGGGGAAUAUUGCACAAUGGGGGAAACCCUGAUGCAGCGACGCCGCGUGAGUGAAGAAGUAUUUCGGUAUGUAAAGCUCUAUCAGCAGGGAAGAAAAACCGACCAUAGGGUCGCUAGACGGUACCUGAUUAAGAAGCCCCGGCUAACUACGUGCCAGCAGCCGCGGUAAUACGUAGGUGGCAAGCGUUGUCCGGAUUUACUGGGUGUAAAGGGCGUGUAGCCGGGUUGACAAGUCAGAUGUGAAAUCCUGCGGCUUAACCGCAGAACUGCAUUUGAAACUGUUGAUCUUGAGUACGGGAGAGGCAGGCGGAAUUCCUAGUGUAGCGGUGAAAUGCGUAAAUAUUAGGAGGAACACCAGUGGCGAAGGCGGCCUGCUGGGCUUUAACUGACGCUGAGGCUCGAAAGCGUGGGUAGCACACAGGAUUAGAUCCCCGGGUA